CCUACGGGAGGCUGCAGUGGGGAAUAUUGCACAAUGGGCGCAAGCCUGAUGCAGCCAUGCCGCGUGUAUGAAGAAGGCCUUCGGGUUGUAAAGUACUUUCAGCGAGGAGGAAGGCAUUGUGGUUAAUAACCACAGUGAUUGACGUUACUCGCAGAAGAAGCACCGGCUAACUCCGUGCCAGCAGCCGCGGUAAUACGGAGGGUGCAAGCGUUAAUCGGAAUUACUGGGCGUAAAGCGCACGCAGGCGGUCUGUCAAGUCGGAUGUGAAAUCCCCGGGCUCAACCUGGGAACUGCAUUCGAAACUGGCAGGCUAGAGUCUUGUAGAGGGGGGUAGAAUUCCAGGUGUAGCGGUGAAAUGCGUAGAGAUCUGGAGGAAUACCGGUGGCGAAGGCGGCCCCCUGGACAAAGACUGACGCUCAGGUGCGAAAGCGUGGGGAGCAAACA
rnacentral:rRNA from 1 species